UACGUAGGGUGCAAGCGUUAUCCGGAAUUAUUUGGGCGUAAAGAGCUCGUAGGCGGUUUUUGGUGAGUCGGGUGUGAAAUCUCCACGCUCAACGUGGAGGGCCACCCGAUACUGCCAUGACUAGAGUCCGGUAGGGGAGUGUGGAAUUUCCCGGUGUAGCGGUGAAAUGCGCAGAUAUCGGGAGGAACACCAGUAGCGAAGGCGACACUCUGGGCCGGGUACUGG
rnacentral:rRNA from 1 species